AUAACCCCCAUCCUUAACGGCUAAGAUCAAUGUGUAGUAUCUGUUCUUAUUAGUUUAACACCUAAUAGUUCCCUCAUAAAAACAUCUAUCGAACAGAAAACGGUUUUGUUCAAAAUGGCCGCAACUUUU